UGUGUGUUAAGUCAUAGAUAAUAAAUUAAUAAAUCAUGUGUUUUUAAUUAAGAUGCAGAAUAAUUUUUGAUGAAUAAGGGAUGGCCCACUUUACCUGAAAAUAUUUUUUCUGGAGUGCAUGAUCUAAAAGUAUUUAUUGGUAUAUACCAUGCAAAUAAAAUAUUAUAAAUGAAAUAUUAUAGCUGGACAUUAACAAAAGUCAUAAAGAAAAAAAGGUGGAAAAAAAACAUCUAGCUAUCUAAAUUAUGUUUUAUAAAAAGUGGCCCACUUUACCUGCAAUCACCCUAAAUAAAAAUGAAUACUCCUUUUUUCAGUAAGUCAUAUUAUAGAUUAUUCUAACAUUACAUCCUGUUCUAGAGGGUCACAAUUUUGGAUCAAUUUUGAAACUUUAUUUUAGCUUGGGUAGAAAAAAUAGUGUAAUAAAAAUAAGUGCAUGAGAGUAAUACACACAAUUCACCACAGAAUGGCGAGAUUCGGCUAAAUUCUUCUGUAACAGUUUUGAAGUAUAUCUACUAGGUUAUACAUUCAUUAAACUGCCAUGUUUUUACUCAGCUUAGAGAUAUUAUUUCUACUAAAAGGCGAUGUAAAUGAUUUGAUGUCACAAUAACAAUUGUAUGUCUCUGCCUGAUUUUAUAAGUUUAUAACUGUCUGAUUUUUUUUAAAUAUAACUUUCCAUCCAAUAUACAUAAUUUUCCAUCCGCACCACAAGGCGGUGCAAGCGGGUUUGUCAUUCAGUCUGACUUCCAACUUGCAGAUCCUGCUGAUUAUUUUGGUCUUAAAAAUUUUUCACGUUAACAGCACAUAUUUCAGCUCAACUGCAACACACAGUCCUAUAAAGUGCUGGAAACGAGUGUCCCGCGACUGACCUAAUAAGAGAUGUGUUGUGAUUGUAAAGCAGAGCUCUGGACGUGUGGACAGACAGUGACUGUAAUGAUGGACAUCUGCUCAUGAACAGUCUGGACAAAAUCAUAACCGCUGCUGGUCACAGUGCCAGAAGCUCCAGGGGGAGACCGUACUGGUAUCCCCCUUCUUCAGGCACACCUUCACACACACUCCAGCAUUCACUCAUAUCGCAGAGACCUGGCUGGGAUUGAACCAGAAUUAUGGUAACCUCAGUAGUUGGGGAAGGGACGGGUUGAUAAUUUUUAUUCAGCUUUAUUUUAUUUUUUCCAGUCUGGACAAAAUCAUAACCACUGCUGGUCACAGUGCCAGAAGCUCCAGGGGGAGACCGUACUGGUAUCCCCCUUCUGCAGGCACACCUUCACACACACUCCAGCAUUCACUCAUAUCGCAGAGACCUGGCUGGGAUUGAACCAGCAACCUCUGAACCCGUGAGGCAGCGCUCUUACCUGUGAGCCACAGGUCUCUUGUUGGAGUGUGUGAAGUAACUUAUAUUUGACUGUUGACCUGUGUGUUCCCAAUAAAGAUGUUAAAGAAAGCUGUGUAUGUGAUAUA
ensembl:lncRNA